rnacentral:rRNA from 1 species
GAUGAACGCUGGCGGCGUGCCUAAUACAUGCAAGUCGAGCGAACAGACGAGGAGCUUGCUCCUUCGACGUUAGCGGCGGACGGGUGAGUAACACGUAGGUAACCUACCUAUAAGACUGGGAUAACUUCGGGAAACCGGAGCUAAUACCGGAUAAUAUUUCGAACCGCAUGGUUCGAUAGUGAAAGAUGGCUUUGCUAUCACUUAUAGAUGGACCUGCGCCGUAUUAGCUAGUUGGUAAGGUAACGGCUUACCAAGGCAACGAUACGUAGCCGACCUGAGAGGGUGAUCGGCCACACUGGAACUGAGACACGGUCCAGACUCCUACGGGAGGCAGCAGUAGGGAAUCUUCCGCAAUGGGCGAAAGCCUGACGGAGCAACGCCGCGUGAGUGAUGAAGGUCUUCGGAUCGUAAAACGCUGUUAUUAGGGAAGAACAAACGUGUAAGUAACUGUGCACGUCUUGACGGUACCUAAUCAGAAAGCCACGGCUAACUACGU